rnacentral:snRNA from 10 species
GUGCUUGCCUUGGCAGCACAUGAACUAAAACUGGAACAAUACAGAGAUUAGUAUGGCCCCCUGUGUUAAGAGGCUGCAGCUAAACGUGCUUUUUCUGAUU